GGAUACUCCUGUAAUGGCGGAGAGCGGAUAUUCAGAGGACAAGCCAAACCACGCAAGCACACCUCUGCUUCAAGCCUUUCUUCUGGCAUUCGACACGCCCAAGGGGACCAGAUGCAAAGUCCAAACUCAAUGGACUAGGGAUGCAAGGUCCUUGCACGAAGGAUUGGCCAGGGCCAAGUCAUGGAAAGAAGAAUGACAUUGUGGGUAAUGGAUGCAGCCUACCACACCUCCUAACUUCAAGCCUGGUGGGAGGGGACUUAUUUUCCAAGUCCCCCUUCAUAAUCAGUGUCCAUCAUUUCCUUCCCUACCCUGUGCCCCAAGGAGCUAAUGGACAUGAUCUGCAUCUUUCAGUCCUGGGCUUCCUGGUGACUCCAAGCGACACAAGACACUGGAAGGACGUGGGAGGUGUAAUCACGCUUGGAGAAGAGACAGCUGUCAUCCCACCAUCUGGGAACGUGGAAGGAUUAUCCAUCACUACCCAUGUCUGGUUGGAUGGAGUCAUGGCACACGUGGAAGGACGGUCCAUCACCACCCAUGUCUGGUUGGGUCAAGGCGCGGCGCACGGGGAAGGACGGUCCAUCACCGCCCAUGUCUGGUUGGAUGGAGUCAUGGCACACAUGGAAGGACGGUCCAUCACCACCCAUGUCUGGUUGGAUGGAGUCAUGGCGCACGUGGAAGGACGGUCCAUCACCGCCCAUGUCUGGUUGGAUGGAGUCAUGGCGCACGUGGAAGGACGGUCCAUCACCACCCAUGUCUGGUUGGAUGGAGUCAUGCAUGUGUUUUGAAUAGCAGAUUGUGAGUGGAAAUGAUGUGCUUUGCUUUUGAGCUAGAGCAUUUAAAUGCCACAUUGAGACACUCAGGACACCGUUUUUCCUUUCCUGUGCUUCUGGCUGACAUCUGCUCACCCGGUGUGUGUCUGGGAUCACAGCAAUGACACAGAGCAGAGCCCCCAAUUGGAAAAAACCGCUAUAAACUGCUAUGGCCUAAGGCACCAAUACAUUGGUGCUGCUUGUCACUGUGGCAUGGCCUCUUCUGCCCUGACUGAUACCAGCCACAUGCAUGGGAGCAGGGCGGCCAUUGCCAUGGAGACUCCAGGCAAGGUCACGGCUACAUGGCAAGACGUGCUCGGAUUCUGUAUAUAACGUAGGCAAAUAAUUGGCUGGUGCACUGGGGUACAUAUGUGAGAAACAAGGGAUCCUCGGUGAUUUGGGGACUUUUGACCAGAGCAUGUAGCAGAGCUGAUGUGCUAGUUUAUUCCCCGUGACCCUGGGAAAGGUACUGGUGGCGGGCCAGCAUCCUUCUGCAAGCACCCCCACCCUGCCUUACCUCCUCCGAGGACUUUCUCCCACUUUCUCCUGACACAAAGCUGGCCCCACAACAUGGACACAGAGCUACCAGGACUGCCCAGAACCGAGGGGCUAUGGGAAGUCAACACUGAACCUCCUUCCCCUCAGGGGAAUGACAUGGGGACACACAGAGGAUCCAGAAAUGACCCUGCACAUAGACUUAAUAUUAAAAAUGUUAAACUCUGCCUUCCUCCUCCUUGGCCCAAGCACUCAUUUUUUUGUUUUCCAUUUUAAGGAUUUAAUUUUUCCAUUAAAAUGUUUCUCACUGUGUA
rnacentral:lncRNA from 1 species